rnacentral:lncRNA from 1 species
CCCCCUACGAAAAUAGUGAGUUUUCGGUAAAUGCUCUAUAUAUGAAGCCUAUAAUCUUUAAAUUUGUUUUAAAAUUUAAAACCACAUUAUACCUUUGUAUUAAUGUAUGAUAAACUUAUUUUCAUGGUACUUGGACAUCGUUCUAAUUUUUUAUCCAUUAAUUUAGCAAAACUGCAAAUACUCCCUUAAUUAUUGGACUAAUCACUAUAAAAUUGCUAUUUCCUAGAGAAACAGAGACAACAAAGGUUCCAAACCUCUUUGAAAUUCAUCAUAUGUUAUUACAUGAUUCAACUAUGCAUUAAAACAGUAUUGUCAAAUUUUUUGAAUUUUUCUCAAAAUCUAUGUGUACCCCCACGAAAUAGUGAGUUUUCGGUAAAUGCUCUAUAUAUGAAGCUUAUAAUCUUUAAUUCGUUUUAAAAUUUAAACCACAUUAUACAUUUGUAUUAUUUAUGAUAAACUCCUUUUCAUGGUACAUGGACAUCGUUCUAAUUUUUUAUCAUUAAUUUAGCAAAACUGCAAAUACUCCCUAAAUCAUUAGACUACCACUAUAAAAUUGCUAUUCCCUAGAGAAACGGAGACAACAAAGGUCCAAACCUCUUUGAACUUCAUCAUAUUUAUUACAUGAUUCAAAUAUGCAUUAAAAACAGUAUUUCAAAUUUUUUUUUUUUUUUUUCAAAAUCUAUGUGUUAACCCCUACGAAAAUAGUGAGUUUUCGGUAAAUGCUCUAUAUAUGAAGCCUAUAAUCUUUAAAUUUGUUUUAAAAUUUAAAACCACAUUAUACCUUUGUAUUAAUGUAUGAUAAACUUCUUUUCAUGGUACUUGGACAUCGUUCUAAUUUUUUAUCCAUUAAUUUAGCAAAACUGCAAAUACUCCCUAAAUCAUUGGACUAAUCACUAUAAAAUUGCUAUUCCCUAGAGAAACGGAGACAACAAAGGUUCCAAACCUCUUUGAAAUUCAUCAUAUGUUAUUACAUGAUUCAACUAUGCAUUAAAACAGUAUUGUCAAAUUUUUUGAAUUUUUCUCAAAAUCUAUGUGUACCCCCUACGAAAAUAGUGAGUUUUCGGUAAAUGGUCUAUAUAUGAAGCUUAUAACCUCUUAAUUCGUUUUAAAAUUUAUAACCACAUUAAACAUUUGUAUUAAUUUAUGAUAAACUCCUUUUCAUGGUACAUGGAAAUCGUUCUAAUUUUUUAUCAAUUAAUUUAGCAAAACUGCAAAUACUCCUUAAAACAUUAGACUAACAACUAAAAAAUUGCUAUUCCCUAGAGAAACGGAGACAACAAAGGUUCCAAACCCCUUUGAACUUCAUCAUAUUCAAUUAUAUGAUUCAAAUAUGUAUUAAAACAGUAUUUUCAAUUUUUUUAAUUUUUUUUCAAAAUCUAUGUGUUAACCCCACGAAAAUAGUGAGUUUUCGGUAAAUGCUCUAUAUAUGAAGCCUAUAUCUUUAAAUUUGUUUUAAAUUUAAAACCACAUUUAUACCUUGUAUUAAUGUAUGAUAAACUUCUUUUCAUGGUACAUGGACAUCGUUCUAAUUUUUUAUCCAUUAAUUUAGCAAAACUGCAAAUACUCCCUAAAUCAUUGGACUAACCACUAUAAAAUUGCUAUUCCCUAGAGAAACGGAGACAACAAAGGUUCCAAACCUCUUUGAACUUCAUCAUAUAUUAUUACAUGAUUCAUAUAUGUAUUAAAACAGUAUUGUCAAAUUUUUUGAAUUUUUCUCAAAAUCUAUGUGUACCCCCUACGAAAAUAGUGAGUUUUCGGUAAAUGCUCUAUAUAUGAAGCCUAUAAUCUUUAAAUUUGUUUUAAAAUUUAAAACCACAUUAUACCUUUGUAUUAAUGUAUGAUAAACUUCUUUUCAUGGUACUUGGACAUCGUUCUAAUUUUUUAUCCAUUAAUUUAGCAAAACUGCAAAUACUCCCUAAUUAUUGGACUAAUCACUAUAAAAUUGCUAUUUCCUAGAGAAACGGAGACAACAAAGGUUCCAAACCUCUUUGAAAUUCAUCAUAUGUUAUUACAUGAUUCAACUAUGCAUUAAAACAGUAUUGUCAAAUUUUUUGAAUUUUUCUCAAAAUCUAUGUGUACCCCCCUACGAAAAUAGUGAGUUUUCGGUAAAUGGUCUAUAUAUGAAGGUUAUAAUCUUUUAAUUCGUUUUAAAAUUUAUAACCACAUUAUACCUUUGUAUUAAUGUAUGGUACACUUCUUUUUAUGGUACAUGGAAAUCGUUCUAAUUUUUUAUCAAUUAAUUUAGCAAAACUGCAAAUACUCCCUAAAACAUUAGACUAACAACUAUAAAAUUGCUAUUCCCUAGAGAAACGGAGACAACAAAGGUUCCAAACCUCUUUGAACUUCAUCAUAUUUAAUUACAUGAUUCAAAUAUGUAUUUAAACAGUAUUUUCAAUUUUUUUAAUUUUUUUUCAAAAUCUAUGUGUUAACUAACCUACGAAAAUAGUGAGUUUUCGGUAAAUGCUCUAUAUAUGAAGCCUAUAAUCUUUAAAUUUGUUUUAAAAUUUAAAACCACAUUAUACAUUUGUAUUAAUGUAUGAUAAACUUCUUUUCAUGGUACUUGGACAUCGUUCUAAUUUUUUAUCCAUUAAUUUAGCAAAACUGCAAAUACUCCCUAAAUCAUUAGACUAACCACUAUAAAAUUGCUAUUCCCUAGAGAAACGGAGACAACAAAGGUUCCAAACCUCUUUGAACUUCAUCAUAUUUAAUUACAUGAUUCAAAUAUGCAUUAAAACAGUAUUUUCAAUUUUUUAAAUUUUUUUCAAAAUCUAUGUGUUAACCCCUACGAAAAUAGUGAGUUUUCGGUAAAUGCUCUAUAUAUGAAGCCUAUAAUCUUUAAAUUUGUUUUAAAAUUUAAAACCACAUUAUACCUUUGUAUUAAUGUAUGAUAAACUUCUUUUCAUGGUACUUGGACAUCGUUCUAAUUUUUUAUCCAUUAAUUUAGCAAAACUGCAAAUACUCCCUAAAUUAUUGGACUAA